rnacentral:misc_RNA from 1 species
UCUCCGUUGGUGAAUCAGCGGAGGGAUCAUUACAGGACUCGCAAGACUCCUUCACCCUGUGAACCUCACUACAAGCACGUUGCUUCGGCGGGUGUCCCGGCGGGGGUUUUCCCUCGCCGGGGCGCACAGCCCGCCGGCAGCCUACUAUACUCUGUCUCUUUGCGUUGGCAUCUCGAGAAAAAACAAACAAGUUAAAACUUUCAACAACGGAUCUCUUGGUUCUG